UGCGUAGGUGGUUUAAUAAGUUAACUGUAAAAUCCCUGGGCUCAACCUGGGCAGGUCAGUUAAGACUGUUAGACUAGAGUAAGGUAGAGGGUAGUGGAAUUUCCGGUGUAGCGGUGAAAUGCGUAGAGAUCGGAAGGAACACCAGUGGCGAAGGCGUCUACCUGGGCUAUUACUGACACUGAGGCACGAAAGCGUGGGGAGCAAACA
rnacentral:rRNA from 1 species